UUUAUCAUUUUUAAAGAAAUGGCAGAGCAGAUUCCAAAAACAAAUCCAGUGUUGCAGGGUUCACAUUUUCAUGAUGUAAAUUGAGGGAGCAAAAACAGUAUCGGCUCCAAAUAUCGGCUCAAGAAAAUCGGCAAUCCGUAUCGGCAUCAGAACUAAAA